rnacentral:rRNA from 1 species
UACAGGGGGGGGCAAGCGUUGUUCGGAAUUACUGGGCGUAAAGGGCCAGUAGGCGGCCAACUAAGUCCGACGUGAAAUCCCCAGGCUUAACCUGGGAACUGCGUCGGAUACUGGAUGGCUUGAAUUCGGGAGAGGGAUGCGGAAUUCCAGGUGUAGCGGUGAAAUGCGUAGAUAUCUGGAGGAACACCGGUGGCGAAGGCGGCGUCCUGGACCAACACUGACACUGAGGAGCGAAAGCCAGGGGAGCAAAGCGGG